rnacentral:rRNA from 1 species
AGUAAUGCGUGACCAACCUCGCCCCAUCGCUCCAGAAUAGCUCUUGGAAACGGGUGGUAAUGCUGGAUGCUCCAACUUGACGCAUGUCUUGUUGGGAAAGUGUUUAGUGGCAUGGGAUGGGGUCGCGUCCUAUCAGCUUGUAGGCGGGGUAAUGGCCCACCUAGGCUUCGACGGGUAGCCGGCCUGAGAGGGCGAACGGCCACAUUGGGACUGAGAUACGGCCCAGACUCCUACGGGAGGCAGCAGGC